UACGAAGGGGGCUAGCGUUGUUCGGAGUUCCUGGGCGUAAAGGGCGCGUAGGCGGCGCACCAAGUCAGGCGUGAAAGCCCUGGGCUCAACCCGGGAAUUGCGCUUGAGACUGGUGUGCUUGAGUACGGGAGAGGAUAGUGGAAUUCCCAGUGUAGAGGUGAAAUUCGUAGAUAUUGGGAAGAACACCGGUGGCGAAGGCGGCUAUCUGGACCGUAACUGACGCUGAUGCACGAAAGCUGGGGGAGCAAACAGG
rnacentral:rRNA from 1 species